rnacentral:lncRNA from 1 species
UGCAUGUACUAAAUAGGCAAUCGGGCAGGAAAGAGUCCCCUAAAUCAGUUUAGAUCCAUUCUUGGCUCCAGGAAAGGGAGAGUCUUGCUGGAGACUGGGAAAGAGGAAGUACCCCUGAGAAGGGAGGCCUGGCAGGGGCACAAGGCAUGAGACAUAACAACAUAUAAGAUCUGUACUCAGGCCUGGACUUUCCCUUGUGUGAUCUGAUGAUGUCUUCAUUAUAGGCUGUACGUGAAUGUGGCGGUCAGACACGCCAUGCUGGCGGCACUGACUCAUCAUCACACCCUUUGGAGAGGACGAGGAGAGGAAGAUGAUCUCUCUAGCUUAAGGCGCAAUGAGUGAGACUGGCAGAAUUCCCCAAACUCAUUCACCGAGUGUUCAACAUAUGAGGAUCCUUGACAGAGACUCUUGCUAAAGAGGGUAAAGUACAUGUGAUCAUUAAUUGUGAUUGCCAGCUGGAUGGGAUUUGGAAUUACCAUGGCAACAAACUUCUGGGCAUGGCUAAGAGGGAGUUUUGAGAUGGCGUGAGUUGAGAUGAGAAGACCCGCCCUAACUGUGGACAGCACCAUUCCGAGGACUAGGGCAUCCUCAGAAAGCAUCUUUUCCAUUCCUGACUGUGGGUGUAAUGCAGUCAACUCCCUGGAGCCCUGCCGCCCUGGCUUCCCUGCCCUGGAGGACUUUACCCUCAAACUGUGAGCCCAAAUAAGCCUUCCUUCCGUCAGCCGUUUCCAUUCUGUAUUUUGCCCAGCAACAAGAAAAGUAAACAAAUGAUUCUUAUGGAUUCAAGGAGAUUAGGAUAUGAUCCUCAAGAGUUUUGCUUAUUUAUUUUUUAAAAACUAUUUUUCUCUUUUAUGUGUAUUAGUUCCUUUGUUAGUUCUGGGCCACCAGCUAACUUUUUCAAGGCUCACCAUUGGUCAAUUGUCUCUUUCUCUUUAUGUUCCCUCAUUCUGUGUGGUAGGGAGCAUCCGUGACAUUCAUCAACUACAGUUUCAAAACAGCUGUCUUGGGCUUAGAAAGCGGUAGUCCAGGGCCUUGGCUGUUCCCCAUCCCUUUCCCUCUCUGUCAAGUAUCUAUAAGAUAACUCUACAGACAUAUCCUAUUACUGGCUGAAAGUACCCCCCACUGGAAGCUCACAGCCCACCAACUUUCUGCUCCCGUUGGCUAGUCUCUCGAUCUCUCUCUACCCGACUUUCAAUCAUGGCACCUCAGUGUCUCUCAUGACAGAAACUAAUGCAUUUCAGGCUUCUCUGAGCUCUGGCCAGCUUCUCUUACUUUUCUGUUAUGGCACACUUUGGAUCUUCUCCUCCACUUUCAUCCACCUCUUCCUGACAUUAUGCCUGGAAUACUGUAAAAUUUUUGUCCAAUGGCAUCACUCGUGACAAAUGUUCUAACCUCUAACCCUAUCUUAAAGCCCAGUAGAAUUUUCGGGAAGUGUUACAUGUAGGCUAAAAUUAAAC